rnacentral:rRNA from 1 species
UACGAAGGGGGCUAGCGUUGUUCGGAAUCACUGGGCGUAAAGGGCGCGUAGGCGGCCGAUCAAGUCGGGGGUGAAAGCCUGUGGCUCAACCACAGAAUUGCCUUCGAUACUGUUUGGCUUGAGACCGGAAGAGGUUAGUGGAACUGCGAGUGUAGAGGUGAAAUUCGUAGAUAUUCGCAAGAACACCAGUGGCGAAGGCGGCUGACUGGUCCGGUUCUGACAUUGAGGCACGAAAGCGUGGGGAGCAAAACGG